rnacentral:misc_RNA from 1 species
AACUUUUGGCAACGGAUCUCUUGGCUCUCGCAUCGAUGAAGAACGCAGCGAAGCGCGAAAUGUAGUGUGAAUCGCAGAGCAUUGUGAAUCAUCGAAUCUUUGAACGCACAUUGCGCCUCUUGUAGCAGAGAGGCAUGCCUGCCUGAGCGUCAGUAAACCCCCAUGCCCCACCGAGCCCUGGUUUGGGCUCGGAGCGGCGUUUUGGGCCCCAUUUGUCGCGGGGAUCGGGCUAUGGCCCCUCCCCCGUGUGGCCUUGAAGAGAUUGACAUCUGUCUGUGGGCGCGAGAUCCGUUAGGACUGAGCCCUUUGGGACGGAGGGACGUGCGAGCGCUGUGGCGCUGAAAAUGUUGACCUCAGGUCAUGUAGGGCCACCGCCUGAACUUAAGCACAUCAAUAAGCGGAGGCU